GCCGCCGUAGCUCAGCGGUAGAGCACCGGCCUCGUAAGCCCCGCUGGGGUCCAGGAGCCGCGGGUUCCGAGGGAGCCGGGGGUCCCGGGUUCGAAUCCCGGCGGCGGCU
rnacentral:tRNA from 1 species